rnacentral:misc_RNA from 1 species
AACGCACAUUGCGCCCCUUGGUAUUCCGAGGGGCAUGCCUGUUCGAGCGUCAUUACACCACUCAAGCACUGCUUGGUAUUGGGCACCCGUCCGCCGAAAGGCGGGCGUGCCUCGAAGACCUCGGCGGGGCCUAACCGGCUUCGGGCGUAGUAGAGUUAAAUCAAAAACGUCUUAUAAGUCUGGUUAGAACCCAUUGCCGUAAAACCUUUUUAUUUUCUAGGUUGACCUCGGAUCAGGUAGGGAUACCCGCUGAACUUAA